rnacentral:misc_RNA from 1 species
AAGUCGUAACAAGGUUUCCGUAGGUGAACCUGCGGAAGGAUCAUUACCAAAAAAAAUACAUCCAAUACCAACCCCUUUUUCUGUGAAUCUUCUGACCGUCUUUGGGAGAGAGAGGCCAUAUAUAUGUGUGUUUUUCUCUCCCAAUAUUUUUUUCUCUACAAACACUUUCUUGUGUUUUCUUUCUUAAAACCAAAGAAAAGACAAAAGUAUUUUUUUUAUAUUUUUUUUUCUUUAAUCAAGAAAUAAAUUAUUAAAAGUCUAAACAACUUUUAACGGUGGAUCUCUUGGCUCGU